rnacentral:lncRNA from 1 species
GCCCGCACCCGCACCUGACCCCCGCGGGCUGCUCCGGGCACUGGGGCUGGACUCACCUGGGACAGGUAACCUUCAUCAUCCUCAUCAUCCUCAUCAUCCUCAUCAUCAUCAUCCUCAUCAUCCUCAUCAUCCUCAUCAUCCUCAUCAUCCUCAUCAUCCUCAUCAUCCUGCUCCAUCAUCCUCAUCCUCAUCAUCCUCAUCAUCCUCAUCAUCCUCAUCAUCCUCAUCCUGCUCCAUCAUCCUCAUCAUCCUCAUCAUCCUCAUCCUCAUCAUCAUCCUCUUCCUGCUCCUUCCUCUUCCUCCUGCCCGCACCCGCACCUGACCCCCGCGGGCUGCUCCGGGCACUGGGGCUGGACUCACCUGGGACAGGUAACCUUCAUCAUCCUCAUCAUCCUCAUCAUCCUCAUCCUCAUCAUCCUCAUCAUCCUCAUCAUCCUCAUCCUCAUCAUCAUCCUCAUCAUCCUCAUCAUCCUCAUCCUGCUCCAUCCUCAUCAUCCUCAUCCUGCUCCAUCAUCCUGCCCCAUCAUCCUCAUCAUCAUCAUCCUGCGUCCUCAUCAUCCUCAUCAUCCUCAUCAUCCUCAUCAUCCUCAUCAUCCUCAUCAUCCUCAUCAUCCUCAUCAUCAUCAUCAUCCUCAUCCUGCUCCAUCAUCCUCAUCAUCCUCAUCAUCCUCAUCAUCCUGCUCCGUCAUCCUCAUCCUCAUCAUCAUCAUCAUCCUCAUCAUCUUCAUCAUCCUCAUCAUCAUCAUCCUCUUCCUGCUCCUUCCUCUUCCUCCUGCCCGCACCCCAGCCCGACCCCCGCGGGCUGCUCCGGGCACUGGGGCUGGACUCACCUGGAACAGGCCGUGUCCCGGAGCUCCCGGAGGGGACGGACACCAGGGACAUCGGUGACAUCACUGGUGACAUCACCGCUGACAUCACCGCUGACAUCAUCGGUGACAUCACCGGGGACAUCCAGGCUCACCUGGACUCGCUGCAGCUCCAGGACAGCGCCGGGGCCCCGCCCACAGCCCCCGAGCCCCGCCCACCCUCACCUGAGCAGGUACGGGGUGGGGAGGGGGUCCUGAUCCUGAUCCUGAUCCCGAUCCCUGAUCCCCGAUCCCUGAUUCCUGAUCCCAAUCCCUGAUCCCAAUCCCUGAUCCCAAUCCCGAUUCCUGAUCCCUGAUCCCAAUCCCAAUCCCUGAUCCCGAUCCCGAUCCUUGAUCCCAAUCCCUGAUCCCAAUCCCUGAUCCCGAUCCCUGAUCCUGAUCCUGAUCCCGAUCCCUGAUCAUCCCGAUCCCAGUGUUCCAUUGUGGAUACUGCCCACCCCUCCCGAGCAGGUACGGGGUGGGGAGGGGCUCCUGGUCCUGAUUCCUGAUCCUGAUCCCUAAUCCCCGAUCCCGAUCCUGAUCCCUGAUCCUGAUCCCUGAUCCUCAUCCCUCAUCCCUGAUCCUGAUCCAAAUCCUUGAUCCCUUAUCCCAAUCUCUGAUCCCAAUCCCUGAUCCUGAUCCAGAGCUGGCCGUGUCCCUGGUGCACGUUCCGGAACAUU